rnacentral:miRNA from 14 species
UUAAGCGAGAGGUUUGUGGCGCACAGAGUUCUUCCAGCCCUGGUAUGGCGCCACCGGAAAAAGGGAAGCGCGCCUGCAGGAACUGGUAGAUCUCGCUGAG